rnacentral:rRNA from 1 species
CGGGGGGGGCAAGCGUUGUUCGGAAUUACUGGGCGUAAAGGGCUCGUAGGUGGCCAACUAAGUCAGACGUGAAAUCCCCCGGCUUAACCGGGGAACUGCGUCUGAUACUGGAUGGCUUGAGUUUGGGAGAGGGAUGCGGAAUUCCAGGUGUAGCGGUGAAAUGCGUAGAUAUCUGGAGGAACACCGGUGGCGAAGGCGGCAUCCUGGACCAACACUGACACUGAGGAGCGAAAGCCAGGGGAGCAAACGGGAUUAGAUACCCCGGUAGUCCUGGCCCUAAACGAUGAAUGCUUGGUGUGACGGGUAUCGAUCCCUGUCGUGCCGAAGCUAACGCAUUAAGCAUUCCGCCUGGGGAGUACGGUCGCAAGGCUG